rnacentral:rRNA from 1 species
UAGGCGGACGGGUGAGUAACGCGUAAAGAACUUAGCCCUUUAGACUGGGAGUAACAGAGGGAAACUUACUGAUAAUACUGGAUAAGUUAGUAUAUCGCAUGAUAUGCAAAUGAAAGCUACGGCACCAAAGGAGAGCUUUGCGUCCUAUUAGCUAGUUGGUAAGGUAAGAGCUUACCAAGGCGAUGAUAGGUAGCCGGCCUGAGAGGGUGGACGGCCACAAGGGGACUGAGAUACGGCCCUUACUCCUACGGGAGGCAGCAGCA